GGGGCUGACAAGCUUCGACAAAAGUUCUUUGAAAAGCGAUCGCAAGCCAGAGCACGCAAUCAUCUCUGUAAAAACUGUUGCAAUCCACAAAUGCCAACACAUUUGUCAGCAAAGUAAAGAGCGCUUUCGCGUUCAACUUUGCUCCAGCAUUGGCUUAAAUAGCUGAUGCGGUCAAACGGGCGACACCGAUAGCCCCGGCGACCUAUCAUUUCGGUUAGAUUAUCCAUAGGCCGCGUGACUAUGGCUGAUCGAAAAGUUACCACGAUCGUCCGUCAGGUAUUUUGUCGGUUUAAAGCCUGCCCGGAUUAAAUCCGCCAGCCGGCGGAAAUUAAAUCAAAUAAGCUUGUAGACAUUGCUUUUCUAAAUUUUUGGACGCGGGUGCGAUUCCCGCCAGCUCCACAC
rnacentral:tmRNA from 7 species